CUUGGUCAUUUAGAGGAAGUAAAAGUCGUAACAAGGUUUCCGUAGGUGAACCUGCGGAAGGAUCAUUACUGAGUUACUGGGUUGGUAUCCCUACCUCCCGUACUCCCACCCUAUGUUUACCGACCUUUGUUGCCUCGGCGGGCCUGCGGCUAGCCCCGCUGUCGGCUUCGGCUGGCUAGCGCCCGCCAGAGGACCCACUAAACUCUAUUUUAACGUGUCGUCUGAGUAAAAACAUUAAUAAAUUAAAACUUUCAACAACGGAUCUCUUGGUUCUGGCAUCGAUGAAGAACGCAGCGAAAUGCGAUAAGUAAUGUGAAUUGCAGAAUUCAGUGAAUCAUCGAAUCUUUGAACGCACAUUGCGCCCUCUGGUAUUCCGGAGGGCACACCUGUUCGAGCGUCAUUACAACACUCAAGCCCUGCUUGGUAUUGGGCGCCGCCCGCUAUGGGCGCGCCUUAAACUCCUCGGCGUCGCCGUCCGUCUUUAAGCGCAGCGAGAUUACUUCCAGCGCUUUCAAAGACGGGCCUCGUCCGCCGGAGAACACACCUUUUUAUUCUAAGGUUGACCUCGGAUCAGGUGGGGAUACCCGCUGAACUUAAGCAUAUCAAUAAGCGGAGGA
rnacentral:rRNA from 1 species